AUUAUGGCUCAGGAUGAACGCUAGCUACAGGCUUAACACAUGCAAGUCGAGGGGCAGCAUUGGGAUAGCUGCUAUCCAGAUGGCGACCGGCGCACGGGUGAGUAACGCGUAUCCAACCUUCCCUAUAGUAGAGAAUAGCCCGGCGAAAGUCGGAUUAAUGCUCUAUGUUGUGUUUUUGAGGACAUCUGACGAACACCAAAGGUUCACCGCUAUAGGAUGGGGAUGCGUCUGAUUAGCUUGUUGGCGGGGUAACGGCCCACCAAGGCGACGAUCAGUAGGGGUUCUGAGAGGAAGGUCCCCCACAUUGGUACUGAGACACGGACUAAACUCCUACGGGAGGCAGCAGUGAGGAAUAUUGGUCAAUGGGCGAGAGCCUGAACCAGCCAAGUAGCGUGCAAGGACGACUGCCCUAUGGGUUGUAAACUGCUUUUAUCAGGGAAUAAAGUGCGGCACGUGUGCCGUUUUGUAUGUACCUGAUGAAUAAGGACCGGCUAAUUCCGUGCCAGCCGCGGC
rnacentral:rRNA from 1 species